rnacentral:sRNA from 1 species
UAUAUAUAUAUUUUUUUUUUCGUUAGUAUUUGAACCGCACCGCACUUAAUUUAUAGUUGAACCACUUGUCUUUAUUCCAAAAUUAAUUUGUAGGUGUAUUAUAUAUACUUUUUGUUUGGUAUUGAUAAAUGUACAUAUAUAUUGCGUAUUUAAUCUCCCAACAGGCAUCAGCCAUAGCAUCAAGAAACUUGGUCAAAUAGGCCAAACAAGCCUCGUCACACCGAACAUGAACAGUUAGAGGGAGAACAAAAUCGCUCACCUUCUCCAGAUCUUUCAGAUUAAAAUCGAUGUUUGGACAUCAUCUAUCGUUUUCUUAUUAUUACGUUUGUGAAUAUGAUUUAUCAUAUGAACUUUUCUGUACAUUUUUAUGCAUUCUGAUAACUUGGUAACAUUGAUAUACAAUUUUAUAACGUAAUAGUCAUUUGAGACAUUCGACAUACAAAAAAAAAAUAUGAGACCUAUAUGGCUAUAUGCAAGGGAAAAGAAUUAAAGCGUUGACUUGAAUUACUAGCAUACGAUGAUGUGAAUUGUGUAGUUGAUGACAAGAGAAUAUAUGGAAUAAAUAAUUGUUUGUUACAAUUAAGUUAGACAAGUUUCAAAAUACAUAAGUAAUAUAACUACAUACAUUGUAUCAAUAUAUCAUAUACUGUUUUUGUAUGUGAUCAUGAUAGUGAAAUAAU